rnacentral:lncRNA from 1 species
GGCAUGAAGAGUUGGACAUGAUUGAGCUGACUGAAUAACAACAACAAAGAAAAAGAAGCUUGUGGAAAGGGCAGAAUUUUAAUAGUUCUAAGUUUAAUUUCAAGGUCUUUACUUCAAAUCAUUUUAGUGCUGAGGAUUUCUUUUGUUGUUAAUAAUAGUUUUAUUUUCAAAACACAUGCAAAAAGUUUUCAACAUUCACCCUUGCAAAACCUUGUAUUCCAAGCUUUUCUCCCUCCUUUUCCCCAAUCCCCUCCCCUAGACAGCAAGCAAUCCAAUAUAAGUUAAACAUGUACAAUUCUUCUAUACAUAUUUCCACAUAUAUCAUGCCGCACGAGAAAAAUCAGAUCAAAAAAAAAAGAGAGAAAGAAAAAAGCAAGCAAACAACAACAAAAAAGGUGCAAAUAUAUGUUGUAAUCCAUAUUCAGUCCUGACAAUUUUCCUUCUGAAUGGAGAUGGCUCUCCAUCACAACUUGAGGAUUCCUUUUUUUUUUUUUUUUUUUUUAAUAUUUUACUUUCUUUUUUAUUUUCAGAAUACAUACAAGAUAGUUUUCAACAUUCACCCUUACAAAACCUUUUGUUCCAAAUUUUCUCCCUCCCUCCUCUCCACCCCCUCCCCCUAAACAGCAAGUAAGAGAAUUUCUUUUUUUAAUGACAACAGUACCAUCCAGACCACAAUAGUCACGUUCUACCAUUGCAUGGGUGUGAAGUACUCUCUCAGUUUUCAAGUGGGUUAAAGUUGCUUUUUGUUUGUUUGUUUUUUAAUAGUCUAAAGAACUUGAGGGAUUCAGCCUGGUAUCCUGUAAACUCCCAGACAUAAUACAGAAGUGAUGUUCAGUUUACAGAUGUCUGGAAAGCAGCAUGUGGUUGUGAGAACUCCUACUCAACUAGGAAUUGAGAUAUUUGGACUCUAGUCCAUGCCUAGUCAAUGACUAGCUGUAAGACCUUAGUUCAGUCCUUCACUUUCCUUAGGGACUGAAUUAAGAUAGUCUUCAAGCUUUAAAGAUAGUCUUUAGGGUUUAAAAUGCUAUGAUACCAGCUGCAGGCUUAGGAGAUUCAAAGAAUGAAUUGUUUUUUAGAUUAUGUAUAAAGUCAAGUCCAGAAUAGAACCAAAUAUAGUGUUUGGACAUUGGGGUAAAGAUUAAAAUACAUUAUUUCAUAAAUAUUUUUUAACCUAAUAAAAGUUUUUUUUUUUAAAUUCACACGUGCUUCCUAUCUCAUUUUUUUUUUCAUUUUUUUAAACUCAAAAAUUUGGUUUUAUUAUCAACUGUGUUGUAUUUUAAGCCUUGAGUUAAGAUUGAAAAUAAAAUGUCCAGAGAGCAGUUGGAUCAGCCUGUUCCCUGAUGUUCACUGGCUGAAGGCCUCAUGGGAGGUCAGUGGUGGAAAUCACUAGAUUUUUGAUGUAAUCUUGAAUUUGGACCCUAUGUUUGGCUGUUAGCAAUAAAAAUGAGUCCUCUUGAAGAUAUCUUAGGGUACCUCUGAUAAGCAAGGCUUUCUGCUGAGCUUGGUUGUGGGGUAGGUAAGUCAAGCACCAUGUAAACAUUAAGAUGAAAGCUUUUAAUGUGCCAAUUGGGUGAUCAUAUGGGAAAGAAAAAAAAAAAAGACAUUCUUAAAGUUGAAAAGAAGAGCAGGAGGCUCUUGCUGCUGUUCUAUGUUGGAAGAUAGCAUGGAGGUUGCUAUUCCACAGUGUCAUAUUAAUUUCAAGACAAAAUGUCACAGAGAGGAGGAGACAAAGUCAGCUUCUAAUUUCAGUAUGAAAUCAUUUCAGAGGGAGCUCCAAAAAGAUUUAGGUCUAUGGAUCAUAGACCUUAAGUUGGAAGUUGCUCUUUAGAAGUCAUGUAAGUCCAAUCCCUUCAAACUACUGAUAAGGAAACUGGGGCCCAAGGAGGUUAAGAGACAACACAGUUAGUUAUCCCAAAGGUAGGACUGAAGCUGAGGCCUCUGACUGGAGCUAGUUCUGUGCUUUCUGCAUCAAGGUAGAGAUCUUUCCUUUGGUUUUUAGAAUAAAUAGGCAGAUGCUCCUCCUAUUGGUUCUGGUUUCUGGUUCUAGCUGUGUGAUGUUGGGAAAGUCACUUCACUUUUCAUAGAUGUGAGUUUUCCUUAUCUCUACAAGGAAAGGUUUGGAUUAAUGAGCCUCCAGAUCUCGUCAAAGUCUGAAGUGUCUUGGUGACCUUAAGUUCAGGUGUAGAUAGAAGCAGAGGUACAAUGAGCUAAGGUUUUGCCUUCUCUCCAAUCCUUAUUUCAGUCCUCUAGCUCCUCUUAAAGCUGGUGUGGGCAUCAACAGGAAAUAAACAGGAGUCAUUUUUUUGAUUCAUGGCCCUAGCACUUAACACAGUGCCUGGCAAGUAGUCAGUACUUAAUACAUGCUCAUUUAUUCAUCCAUAUUUUGGAAGGACUAAAAAAUUUACAAAUGGAUCAUCAUACCAUAGGGCCUAAAGUCGGAUUGUUCAUGAAUAGGCAGCUGAUUUAAAUGGGUUUAGGUGGUCUGUCUGCUCAUGGUAAGCAUUUAGAAACCAAUCAAAAUAGUUACAGCAUUAAAUAGGUUUCAUAUCAAAGGAAUCAGAGAUGAGAAGCCUGUUAUGGUGAGCUUGUCUGUGAGAUAAGUUUUAUCUCAUUACUUUUCCAACUUUCUAACAAACUCAAUUGGAUUCUGGGUAGCUGUAAAUGACAUCACCUUGUUCUCUUUCUCCCACCCACUCUAGGCUUCCCAAUUUGGCCAUGAGAAUGAACACUUGCUUUUCAACUGCAGAGCGAGUUAAACUGAAAGGAAAAUCAGUUGCUUUGAAGUUUGUGGCUCUCUCCAAUUAAUGUAAAAGGCAAUGGAGGUAGAGAGGUCUAGGUGGAAUUGAGAAAUGGGGGUGGAAAGGUGGGAACACUGCCACCCCCCAAAAAACAAAACAAAGCACUGGUUAGAGUCAGAAAACUUGAGUUUUUAUCCUGACUGUGUCACAAACGAGGCAAGUCAUUUAGUACAUUCUGGGCUUAACUGAUAUUCUGUUAAAGGAAGGAACUGAACCAAAGUCUCUUUCCAGUUUUCCAAGCUUUUGUGAUUCUUUGAUCUUCCUAUGGAUGAUUAUCUUUCCUUGGGUCCUUCACAAUUAGCUGAAGUCUAUAGAAGCCUUUCUGACUAAUGAUUUCAGAUGUAUUAAUAAAAAAAUACAGAAAAUUACAAAGGAAACCAAAAAUGAGUUAAAGAAAGAUGGAAGUCGUUUUUUAGCCCUUCAUCCAAGUUCACGGAGCCCUGCUACUGAUCCUCUGGUCUCUCGCCAUGCAACAGCCACAAAAAGUAUUUCUAAUUCUGAGGAACCAUGGCAUCCUUAAAUCAAUGCAGAAUUAUCUUGCCUCUCUGAACUAUGGGAGAGGGAGCUCCAAGAUCUUGCAGUCCUGACACUGGGAUGGUAGUAUCUAUGUCAGAGGGAUGGUACAUUAAUACUUUUUGAUGAUGACUGUCAAGUCCCUACUAGACAGCUGGAUGGCACAGUAGAUAAAGCAAUGGAUCUGGAAUCAGGGAUAGCUGAGUUCAAAUCUAGUCUAGCCUCAUUUUCUUCAACCAAUAUCUUUACGAUUAAGGAUCAAAUUGAGAUGUUUGUACAGUUUAACAGAGUGUCUGGCACAAGUAGAUGCUUAUUGAUGCUUGUUCCAUUUCCCUUCUCUGCAGAUUUGACAGCCAAAGAGCAAAUACUAUUAAGAUAGUCUGAGUUUUUCUGAUCAAGUGUUUAAUAAACUGCCCCCAAGAGCAGUCAAGCAAGAGGAAAAGAGGGUUCUCAGAACCACAGGCAACAGAAUGUUUAAAGCCAAGUGAACAAGUGAAAACACAGAUGUAAGAGGCAAGGAAGAUGGGGGAUAUAAAUCCAGUUUGGAGUGACUGAUUUGAGUUUAAAAAAAUGAAUUUGGCUUUCCUUAAUCUAGGCCUGGCUGAGCUAUAAGGCAGGUGCAUCAAGCUACCCUGGGAAAAGAUGUAGAACCUUUUGACAUAGCUGAUAAGUUUCUGUUCCCUGUUUAAAAAAAAAAUAAAAAAAGGGAGGGGGGAGAGUUAGUAGUAGUAGUAAAUGGUGUGCAUUACAGGAGCCUAAAAGAAAAGUAAAACCCCAAAGCUAAAGUAACUUUGAAGACUCUUAAAAAUAUUUGUUGGUGAAAGUUGAUGCUAUUAACUCAGCAAUAGUUAACUCCCUUCUGCCAGAUCCUACCUAGGAAGAAAUGGAAAAUUCAGCAUGCAUUUCUUUCCUGCCCCUUCCCUCUGCAACAGCUGGAGAUCCUGGAUGAAGAUUACUAAGGGUGGGUUGUCUUAUCCCCAGGGAUGCUGCAUACCUUCCCUCAGCUUGGUCCAAAGCAGGGAGAGGAGGUGGGGAACAGGGGCAAAGGGUUUUCUCUUUGCACGGGCUGGUUCUCUCCUUAAUGCAGGCCUCUGGGUGGCCUUGUUGCUCCUGAGUCACUCAGAAGUACUGUUAAAAUGAGCAAAAACCAGCUGUGCUGGCUUCCCAAUUGGAGGAACUGAGAAAGUUGCUGUGCAACAAGAGAAAUGAGUGUGGGGACCAGUCCCAACUGCUGCAUGUGUGCUCUCUCCCAAUUCAAAUAAGGAGACAAGCAGAGGGGAGAUAAGGAUAAAAUAAAAGAGCCAAAAAAAGCAGAGAACCACAAAACAGCAGCAGAAAAAUGGUUAGGGAAGAGACCUGCUGCUCUGUAUUGGCUUUUGGGACCAAGUCAAUGCAUUAGCAGCAUCUGCAGCUGGAAAGCUAGUCAGGGAGGGCUGAGAACUCUGGCUUGGAACCCAGGGAAGCCCGAUUUCUAGUUCCAACUCUGAUCUGUUGUGUGACUUAGGACACAUUACCCUUGUCUCCAUCCUCAGUCUCCUCAUCUGUAAAACAAGGGGAUUAAAUUACCUUUCAGUUCUGAAUGUCCUAAAUGAAUGCCAAGACUUAGAGGACUAAAUGGAAGAAGCUUCCUGUCAGCAUCACCACAGGCUGAGGGCCCACACGGUCUGCAAGGCAACUGUUUUAAAUGUCCACUUUGGAGGGAAUUAAACAGAAUGAGAGACCUGGGGGCCAGAGAUUAAUUUUGGUUUGGCCCGCUGCCUCCUCCCUUCCAAAAAGUCUCUCUUUGCAGCUGGUCAUUGAGGGUCGAAAACAAUGCUGAGAAUCUCCGGCCAGGACUGUGGUAUGGAUGGGUUUCUAUUUUUAAGGAGACAUCAGCUCGAACAAUAGAGCAACUGCAGCCUGAGUGGUCCGAGGCCCCAGAGCUUGACCUCCUGUGGCAUUCUGGAAAGUCUCAAAAGCCAGAUUGCAGGAGAUGUCAAAGGAAAGAAAUUGGUUCAGACAAUCUAAGAGCCUGGGACCAGGUGACUUCACUAGUCUUGUGGCCAUCUUUGUCUAAAAGCCCUUAAUAAACAACUAUAUUUGCAUAUAUAGCUAUUAAGUGAAUAAACUUGACCCUCACUACCAAGAAUUUAUAUUAGCUGACAAAAGGAAAGACAUUAGCCCAAGAGGCAUUUGCUGCAGUCUCUAUGGUUAAUCAGGGGAGGCUUCACCAAGUUCAGUGUUUAGGAGCUGCUUGAAUAUUUUUUUGUUGUUCUGUCAUGUCUAACUCUAAAUGACCCAAUUUGUUUUUGUUUUGUCUUUUCCUGGCAAAGAUACUAGAGUAGUUUGCCACUUCCUUCUCCAGCUCAUCUUACAGAUGAGGAAACUGAGGCAAACAGGAUGAAGUGACUUGUCCAUAGUCAUACAUGUGUCUGAUGCUGAAUUUAAACUCCUGACUCAAAGGAUGGCUCUCUAUCCACUGCACCAUGUACAAAGAUGUAUAAAGCUUGAUCUAGUUAGAACAAUGAUGAUAGCUCCCUUCCUUUAAGGUGGAAUGACAUUUUGGGGCAAGUGGAGGCAGAAGACUUGAGUUCAGUCCCCACCUCAUUCACUCACUAUCUUUGUGUGACCCUAGAUAAAGAUCUUAAUUGAACCUCAGUUUCCUCAUCUAUAAAAUGGGGUUCAUUAACAGUAUCUAUCUCACAAGGAUAUUAGGAGGAUCAAAUGAGAUAAAUGAAAAAAGAUAUUCUACAAAAGGUGCCAGAUAAAUGCCAGCUAUUAUGAUCAUCAUGAACAGAUUUGAGCAAUGCUAGUUAAUUUACAUUCUGUGUUCCCCAAAGUAAAAAGUUCACAAAAGAUCCUUUAUCUAGGAUUGAGUUAAAUAAACAUCUACAGUGGUUCAGUACCCAUAAGUGGGUGGUCAUGGAGGAGAUGGGGACUGACUGCCAGGUGGAAAAUGGGACUCACCUACAUAUUUGCUAUUUACAUUUAGUUAUCUUUCAUAAUAUUAACAAUUUCCCCCCCAUUUAUCCUAAAGACAGUUUGUUGGAAUUAUGUGUUUGCUUAAUGUCUCCCUCUGUUAGGUUGUGAGAUUCUUGAGGGCAGGGACUGCCUUUUGCCUCUUUCUGUAUUUCCAAGGCUUAGUGUAGUGCCCAGCAUAUAGUGGUGCUUAGUAUUUACUGUAACAACAAUUUCAAGUUGUGAAAUUUAAUAUAGUAUCUGGCACAAAGUAAGGGCUUUAUAACUGUUUGGUGAUUGAUUAGUGAGUUUCUCUAAAGCUAAAUUGGUCCCUAGACAGCACAAAUGUCAAUAAUUAAGUCCAUCAAUGAAGCAUUUUCCUAAUAAACUUCUAUUUACUCUUCACAUUUACCCUGCAUAUAUUUAUACACAUUCUUGUGUCUCCCAUUAGAAUGUAAGCAUCUUGAUAAGAGGGACUAUUGGGGCAGUUCGGUGGUGCAGGAGAUGGCACCAGUCCUGAAGUCAGGAGGACCUGAGUUCAAAUCUGACCUCAGACACUUAACACUUCCUAGCUGUGUGACCCUGGGCAAGUCAUUUAACCCCAAGUGCCUUGGCAACAAAAAAACCAACCAAACCAAAAAAAAAAAUCCAAUAACAAAAAGAAUAGGAACUAAUUCACCCUUUGUAUCUCUAUCUGCAUCACCUUGCUGGAGUAGACCAUCACAUAAAAACAGGUGAGUGAUUAAGAACACAUUUGUGUAGAGGAAAAAACUCUCAGGAAGGAGGAAAUUCCAAAAGGAAGCACGGAGGUUGGAAGCAGAACAAAUACUUGAAAGGUGAGAACUAUUUUGGGUCUCCUAGGGAUUGCAGAUAAAGAAAUGGAAACUGAGUUAAUGUGUUACCAGAUAUAUAAUAAAGCAGCUGCCUCUAUAAGGCACUGAGACUAGACAGGACCUCAUAGCUCUCUUUGGAGCCUCAUAAAACAAGAAAAUAUUCAAGUGCAUUUUUCCUCUUCUCCAGACUGGGAGCCAAGAGAUUAAGAGAGUCUCUCUAUUAUAUAUGGACACCUGUCCUGGAAAAAUGAGAGUGAGCUAGACUCACUUCGUAUAUCACUAUGCUGCCAUCUGAGACAACCCACUCAAAGUGGUACAGCUUUAAAAAAAAAAAAAAAAAAAUCAAGCAUUUACAUCAUUGUGGCAAAGUAGUUCAAGGCACUUCCCAGAUCUUAAAACACCUCCCUUCCCCCAAUCUCCAUCUUGAACUAUACAGUUAAGAUAAACCAAAUAAUUGUUCAAAAGUACCUAUCCAGCCAGAACUUGUAACUGUGUCAGAC